CUCGGGCGAGCAGGGCCCUUCGCUCCGGGAGGGGAGGUGACGCGGCGCGGGCUGGACGGCCGGAGACGCGGGGUCAGGGCGCGGACGAGGGGAGCGCAGGGUCGGAGGGGCUCCCGGACGCUGCCCGCCCAGCGUCGGCUCUCGUUGGCCCCUGGCUGCGCGCAGCGGGCCCGACUCUCAGGGCCCUGCGGUGCCCGCUGCCAGCGUGAGGGCUCCGGUCACGCGGCGCGCGAGACGAACGAGCGAGAUGCUUCCCGAAGCGCGGGGCCCAGUGCAGGGGCUCAGCCGGGGCUCCUCCCAAAGCUCACCUGGAGCCCAGCACGACUGCGUUCUGGAAACGCUGUGUUUGACAGCAGGGGCAGGAUGGGGGGCUGUGUAGACGCUGGCCACGUGGCAAUUGUAGGAGAACCAUGGGAUCGAUAAAUGUUCACUGUUGUCCCUGAAGCGCAAAACUGCAGGGCUCUGGAAAGUCCGUGUGUGUGUUUUUGUUGUUUUUGUUUGUUUGAGACAGAGUCUCGCUCUGUCACCCAGGCUGGAGUGCGGUGGCGCGAUCUCUGCUCACUGCAACCUCCGCCUCCCGGGUUCAAGCGAUUCUCCUGCCUCAGCCUCCCGAGUAGCUGGGACUGCAGGCGGCCGCCACGACGCCCGGCUAAUUUUUUGUAUUUUUAGUAGAGACGGGGUUUCACCGUGUUAGCCAGGAUGGUCUUGAUCUGACCUCGUGAUCUGCCCGCCUCGGCCUCCCAGAGUGCUGGGAUUACAGGCGUGAGCCACCGCGCCUGGCCGAAAAGUCCGUUUUAAAAGAUGAUGUAUACAAAUUAUAGCACGGAGAGGGAACGGGCAAGUUGUUUCCUCUUUCCAUGCCUCCAACUCCUCUGAAAUGUGGGUCAUGAUGAUAAUAGGAAAAACUGUCUCUGCCAUAGAGAGGUGGAAAAAGUCCCGCGAAGUGUCCCCGGUAUCUAGAAAGCGCUCAGUAGUGUUUGCUGUUAUCUUAGGGAUAUCAGGCUGCCUGGACAUUUCUCAGAGGAUGAAGGGGAUUGUAGUAAGGAAGACCACCUUCCAGAGGAUGAAGGGGAUUGUAGGAAGGAAGACCACCUUCCAGAGGAUGAAGGGGAUUGUAGGAAGGAAGACCACCUUCCCGGGGCUGGGCAAGGCUGCGGUACUGUCUCUCAUCAGGUCCAGGAGGACUCAGCAGGCUGAUGCAGAGGGACACAGCGCAUCCGCCUUGGUGGAUGCAUGGCUUUCCUGGCUCCCCUGGGACGGGGGAGGAGGGUGAAGAUGGAGGGAAUCUGGCUGGCUGGGCCUUGUGUACUGGGGGGUGGAGGGCCCAUUUGACUGCAGGAAUUGCUCAAGCACAUAAGCACCUUGAAGUGUGUUACUAAGAUACAAGAAACAGGUUUGCUUUUGCCUAUUCCAGCAUGGUGUACCUCUCUUAGGAUACCUUUUAGCACAGGUAGCAGAAUACCAGCCAGCCUCCUGUGGCUCACAGCAUUAAGAUAUUUAAUCAUCUGACAUUACAUGAAGUCCAGUGUUAGGCAGGCAGGAGCUGCUCCCGUGACUCAGUGACAUCAGGUUGGUCCACAUCCUAGCAGUUCUCUUGGUGUUCCUGCGUGAUCAAAGGAUGACUGCCACACCCCAGCCUGCUGACCUCAGCCCUGGCGUGGGCAUAGGAGGGUCUGCGUGGCUGAGCAUCCAGUGUCCUUCGUACUGCCACUGACAGCCUCAGGCCUGAUUUCCAGCACUGUCUGUCCAGGAGCAAUGGGAGCAAGAGUCACUCCACGAGACUCUGGAGGCCUGAUAGACAAAAUACAUGAAGACCAGUUUCUACACAGAGAAUCACUAAAAGAUGGCCAGGCGCGGUGGCUCACGCCUGUAAU
rnacentral:lncRNA from 1 species